GGUGCCCGUCUGUUGUGUGACUCUGGUGAGAGCCAGAGGAGAUCUCUCGACGCAGGACUCGGCUUGCUGGAGACGGCAAGAGGCGAGGGGCGGCGACUGGUGAGUACGCCAAAAAUUUUGACUAGCGGAGGCUAGAAGGAGAGAGAUGGGUGCCC
rnacentral:misc_RNA from 1 species